GACGAACGCUGGCGGCGUGCUUAAUACAUGCAAGUCGAACGGAAAGGCCCUUCGGGGUCCCCGAGUGGCGAACGGGCGGGUAACACGGUGGUGAUUUGCCCUCCACUCUGGGAUACGCCUGGGAAACUGGGUCUAAUACCGUAUAGGACCACGCUCUAUAUGGCGUCAGGUGGCAAUCGUUUGCGGCGUGGGAUGGGCCCCUGGUCUAUCAGUUUGCUGGUGGGGUAAUGGCCUACCAAGGCGACGACGGGUAGCCGGCCUGGGAGUGUGACCGGCCACACUGGGACUGAGAUACGGACCAGACUGCAACGGGCCGCAGCAGGGGGGAGUAUUACGGAGUGGGCGCAAGCCUGAUGCAGCGGCGCCGCGUGAGGAAUGACGGCUUUCGAGUUGAGAACCUCUUUCAAUGGGGACGAAGCGCAAGUGACGGUACCUAUAGAAGAAGCACCGGCCAACUACGUG
rnacentral:rRNA from 1 species